rnacentral:rRNA from 1 species
CACGUAGGGCGCAAGCGUUGUCCGGAAUUAUUGGGCGUAAAGAGCUCGUAGGCGGUCUGUUGCGUCCGCUGUGAAAACCCGGGGCUUAACCCCUGGCUUGCAGUGGAUACGGACAGACUAGAGGUAGGUAGGGGAGAAUGGAAUUCCCGGUGUAGCGGUGAAAUGCGCAGAUAUCAGGAAGAACACCCGUGGCGAAGGCGGCUCUCUGGAACGCAACUGACGCUGAGACGCGAAAGCGUGGGGAGCAAACAGG